rnacentral:rRNA from 1 species
UACGUAGGGUGCGAGCGUUGUCCGGAUUUAUUGGGCGUAAAGAGCUCGUAGGCGGUCUGUUGCGUCGAUUGUGAAAACCCGGGGCUCAACUCCGGGCCUGCAGUCGAUACGGGCAGACUAGAGUUCGGCAGGGGAGACUGGAAUUCCUGGUGCAGCGGUGAAAUGCGCAGAUAUCAGGAGGAACACCGGUGGCGAAGGCGGGUCUCUGGGCCGAUACUGACGCUGAGGAGCGAAAGCGUGGGGAGCGAACAGG